GCCUUACUGAGGAAUUGCUUUGGAAACUGGAUGACUUGAGUGCAGUAGAGGACAGUGGAAUCCAUGUGUAGCGGUGAGAUGCGUAGAUAUAUGGAAGAACACCAGUGGCGAAGGCGGCUGUCUGGACUGUAACUGACGUUGAGGCUCGAAAGUGUGGGUAGCAAACAGGAUUAGAUACCCUGGUAGUCCAUGCCGUAAACGAUGAGUGCUAGGUGUUGGAGGGUUUCCGCCCUUAAGUGCCGCAGCUAACGCAUUAAGCACUCCGCCUGGGGAGUACGACCGCAAGGUUGAAACUCAAAGGAAUUGACGGGGACCCGCACAAGCGGUGGAGCAUGUGGUUUAAUUCGAAGCUACGCGAAGAACCUUACCAGGUCUUGACAUCCUUUGACAACUCCAGAGAUGGAACGUUCCCUUCGGGGACAAAGUGACAGGUGGUGCAUGGUUGUCGUCAGCUCGUGUCGUGAGGUGUUGGGUUAAGUCCCGCAACGAGCGCAACCCUUAUUACUAGUUGCCAGCAUUCAGUUGGGCACUCUGGUGAGACUGCCGGUGACAAACCGGAGGAAGGUGGGGAUGACGUCAAAUCAUCAUGCCCCUUAUGACCUGGGCUACACACGUGCUACAAUGGAGUAUACAACG
rnacentral:rRNA from 1 species